UUUUAAAAGAGUUUGAUCCUAGCUCAGGAUGAACGCUGGCGGCGUGGAUAAGGCAUGCAAGUCAAACGGCCCGCAAGGGCAGUGGCGAACGAGGUAGUAACACGUAGGUACAAACCCCCAAGUCAGGAAUAACUCGCCGAAAGGCGGGCUAAUACUUGAUGGUCUCUUCGGAGUAAAGAUUUAUCGCUUGGGGAUUGGCCUGCGGAGUAUCAGCUAGUUGGUAGGGUAAUGGCCUACCAAGGCAAUGACGCUUAGGGGAGGUGAGAGCCUGGCCCCCACCGAUGGUACUGAGACACGGACCAUACACCUACGGGUGGCUGCAGUCGAGAAUCUUCCACAAUGGACGAAAGUCUGAUGGAGCGACGCC
rnacentral:ncRNA from 1 species